AAGGCUCUAGUUUAGUUAAAGCGUCUGGGUUGCAUUCAGAAGAUGCAGGGUAGUGGCCUGCGAGUCUUA
rnacentral:tRNA from 1 species